rnacentral:rRNA from 1 species
ACGAACGCUGGCGGCGUGCCUAACACAUGCAAGUCAACUUGACUGAAGGAGCAAUCUGACAGUAGAGUGGCGCAAGGGUGCGUAACGCGUAAGUAACUUGCCCAAGUAAGGAAUAACGUCGAGAAAUCGGCGCUAAUACCUCAUAAUGCAGCGGAUCCGCAUGGAUAUGUUGUUAAAGGUUUACCGCCUUGGGAUAGGCUUGCGUCUGAUUAGCUAGUUGGUGUGGUAACGGCACACCAAGGCUACGAUCGGUAACUGGUCUGAGAGGAUGAUCAGUCACACUGGAACUGAGACACGGUCCAGACUCCUACGGGAGGCAGCAGUGAGGAAUAUUGGGCAAUGCUCGAAAGAGUGACCCAGCAACGCCGCGUGGAGGAUGAAGGUAUUCUAUAUCGUAAACUCCUGUGAGAGCAGACGAAAGACAGAUUAUUAAUCUGGAUGACUGUAUGCUCAGAGGAAGCCCCGGCUAACUACGUG